UCUAGGAAGAAGAAGAAUGAGAGUGUCCAAGAAUAGUAUGAAUGGGAACAUCAAGGAAAGCAUAAGCUUUCUAGAUAUACCCUCCUAACAGAGGAGAGAUCUAGUUUUGUGUUUUUCCGAUGCCUCCCAUUCAUAUUGUUCUUGGGUGCUCCUUCCCCUUCUUUUUAGCU
rfam:Triticum urartu cultivar G1812 contig960314, whole genome shotgun sequence.